rnacentral:tRNA from 1 species
GGGCAGGUGGUCCAGCGGCGAAGACAGCUGACUGUAAAUCAGCCACAAAGAAACAACGGAGGUUCGAGUCCUCCUCUGCCCA